rnacentral:misc_RNA from 1 species
GUGUGCCAAAGGUUGGAAAGGAAGUACGCGAUUCAACCCAUCCAGCAGUCCCACGUACAUAAGGGAGUAUCAACGCAAACCAUCAACUAGCUUGUUUGAGGGAAGAAGUACAGAAAGUGGUUCACAUGUUGAAAUCUUGGGAAAUAUGCUUUUAUUGAAGAUUUACUAGGAGUUGCUGCUGGAGCCACCGGUGCUGAGAUUGGAGGUGAUAGG